UACGAAGGGGGCUAGCGUUGCUCGGAAUCACUGGGCGUAAAGCGCACGUAGGCGGAUUCUUAAGUCAGGGGUGAAAUCCUGGAGCUCAACUCCAGAACUGCCUUUGAUACUGGGAGUCUCGAGUCCGGGAGAGGUGAGUGGAACUGCGAGUGUAGAGGUGAAAUUCGUAGAUAUUCGCAAGAACACCAGUGGCGAAGGCGGCUCACUGGCCCGGUACUGACGCUGAGGUGCGAAAGCGUGGGUAGCAAACAGG
rnacentral:rRNA from 1 species